UACAGAGGGGGCAAGCGUUAUUCGGAAUUAUUGGGCGUAAAGAGCGCGCAGGCGGUCGUUCAAGUCGCGUGUGAAAGCCCCCGGCUCAACUGGGGAGGGUCACGCGAUACUGAUCGACUCGAAGGCAGGAGAGGGUAGUGGAAUUCCCGGUGUAGUGGUGAAAUGCGUAGAUAUCGGGAGGAACACCAGUGGCGAAGGCGACUUCCUGGCCUGUUCUUGACGCUGAGGCGCGAAAGCUAGGGUAGCAAACGGG
rnacentral:rRNA from 1 species